rnacentral:lncRNA from 1 species
CGCAGAGCGGAUUGCGCCGCGGCGCUUUGGAGCGCGAGGGGCGACCUCGCCGGUCCGCGCGCCCACGGAAGCGUCGGUCGCGGCGACGUUGUUGCGGCUCUCUGCACCCCCUGACCCACUAUCGGCGAGUAGGGCUGCACGGGGCGCAAUGGUGACGCGGGUCUGCGCGUCACCGGGGUGCGCAGUGGGGACGGCACCCUAGAGGCGCCGCCGGCGCGCAGGGGCGAUGACGGCAAGAAUGUCUGUGGCGACAAGGCGAUGCCACCGCGCCUGGGUGGGAGGGCCUGUGUCAAGGCCGUUGCACGCGGUUCGAUGCGCGGCGGCGGUGCCGGUUGCGUGCCGUCGGCCGUGACAAAUGCAUUGAGCGCGUCGGGCGGGAGCGAUGCCACAUAGGGCGCGAUCGUACCGUCGGACGACUGGCGCACGCCGUGCAGCGCCACAUAGUGGCUGCCCACAUAAAGCACGGCCAGGCAGUCGGCGCGAUAGUCACGACGCACAGGAAGGCCCGUGGCGGGAUCGAUCGCCGGCCGACUGGGCACGGCCUGUGGCACGAGCGCCGUCGCCUGCGCCGGAUCGAUAUAGUUAAAGAUGACCACGCCGCGCACCGAACCGAGGGCGGGCGAGCCGGCAUCGGGCAAGAGGAUCGAGGCAAAGGCAUAGGCCUCGGCGGCGCCGCCCCACCUCACAGACUGGCGCAUGACGUUGCAAUAGGCGCGGUAGGCCGCGUCGACAUCGCUGCCGGCGGCGAGCGCCGCCACAUAUUCGGCACUCGAGUCCUGGAGCAUGAGCGCGAGGUCGACGCCCACCGUGGCGGCCUCUUGGCAGUCGUGAAAGAGGAUGGUCUUGUCGGCGGGGAGCACGCGUUGCGGCCCGGCGGCGUCCCAGGGCACGGCCAGGAGCGGCAGCGCGUACGGGCGCACAUCGGCCCACGAGAGGGUCUGACGACCGCCGACCAUCGUGGUGGCCAACGCCUCGUAGAGCCACACGACGUAGCGCACAACGAGAUCGAGCGUGGGCGGCCUAUAGAUGACGACCGUGACCUCGUCGUCAUCAUCAUCAUCAUCACCACUACCGCCAUCGCCGCCUCGUGCAGAUUCGCCCAUGAUCCGCUGGGCGGCGUCGGGUGCCACCAUCUCGUCGAUCGAUGUGAUCGGCCGUAUGCGCGCCAUGCCCGACACGCCACCUACGUAGGUGACGGCACCGGGCGGGAUGUCGUCGCUGCACAUGACCAAAUAGACAUAAAACUUGACCCAUUUGGCGACGCCGUUGAGGAGCAGCGCGAGGGCGUCGUUGGGCGGGCCGCCGACGCGCACCAGGCCACUAUAGUCCUCGGUGGCCCAUGCGUUGUUCACACCCGACUGGACGUCGCGCGAAAAAGUGGCGCCACGGCCGAGGUUGAUACCGGUGAGACGCUGCACGAGCGCGCUCGCGAUCGAGCGGUAAAAGCAGGCACCGUCGCCAUUGAUCUCCUGCAGAUAGUAUUGGAGCGGCGGCGCAUCGGGUCCGGCGGCCACGCGCGGCGACUGCUGCAAAAAGAGGGCCUCGUUGGCGGCCGUGACCAGGCGCACACGCCCCACAUCGGCCGCGUAGCGGUUGAGCGCGCUGCGCUCGCUGCUGACUUGGGCCUCGGCGGCGACGAGCGCCGCGCGAAAUUCCUCGCCCGGCUGUUGGGUCAAGGGCGAGGCCGCGCACCGCCACAGCCGACGCGCCCACGCAAGGGCCUCGCUAUAUGGGUCAGCGGCAUUGGCAAAGGCGUCGGGCCAGCGCGCGAUGAGCGUGGCAGUGAUGGUAUCAGCGUCGGCCGGCACAAAGCGCGCGGCGCGCACGUCGGGGUCGCCGGGUCCGCUCACGGUGCGUCCGGCGGCAUCGACAAACUCAAAGUGUCCGAGGAUUUCGCCCACGCGGCGCAAGAACGUCGCCCGCGACCAGAGACUCUGGCGCUCGGCAGCCGACAGCGUGGCCGUGAUGGCGCCACUGAGGCCCAAGGCGCCAUAGAGGGCGUCGCAGUCUGUUUGCGUAGGCGCGGGAACACUGCCGUCGGCCGCGAGGACC